rnacentral:rRNA from 1 species
CGGACGGGUGAGUAACGCGUGAGAAUCUGCCCUUAGGAGGAGGAUAACAGCUGGAAACGGUUGCUAAUACUCCAUAUGCCGAGAGGUGAAAGGAUUUAUCUACCUAAGGAGGAGCUCGCGUCUGAUUAGCUAGUUGGUAGGGUAAUGGCCUACCAAGGCGACGAUCAGUAGCUGGUUUGAGAGGAUGAUCAGCCACACUGGGACUGAGACACGGCCCAGACUCCUACGGGAGGCAGCAGUAGGGAAUUUUCCGCAAUGGGCGAAAGCCUGACGGAGCAAUACCGCGUGAGGGAUGACGGCCUGUGGGUUGUAAACCUCUUUUCUCAAGGAAGAAGUUCUGACGGUACUUGAGGAAUAAGCAUCGGCUAACUCUGUGCCAGCAGCCGCGGUAAUACAGAGGAUGCAAGCGUUAUCCGGAAUCACUGGGCAUAAAGCGUCUGUAGGUGGUUUGGUAAGUCUGCUGUUAAAGACUGGGGCUCAACCCCAGAAAAGCAGUGGAAACUGCUAGACUUGAGUGUGGUAGAGGUAGAGGGAAUUCCUAGUGUAGCGGUGAAAUGCGUAGAUAUUAGGAAGAACACCAAUGGCGAAGGCACUCUACUGGACCAUAACUGACACUGAGAGACGACAGCUAGGGGAGCAAAUGGGAUUAGAUACCCCAGCCUGA